GAUGAAGAACGCAGCGAAAUGCGAUAAGUAAUGUGAAUUGCAGAAUUCAGUGAAUCAUCGAAUCUUUGAACGCACCUUGCGCCCUUUGGUAUUCCGAGGGGCAUGCCUGUUUGAGUGUCAUUAAAUACCAUCAACCCUCUUUUGACUUCGGUCUCGAGAGUGGCUUGGAAGUGGAGGUCUGCUGGAGCCUAACGGAGCCAGCUCCUCUUAAAUGUAUUAGCGGAUUUCCCUUGCGGGAUCGCGUCUCCGAUGUGAUAAUUUCUACGUCGUUGACCAUCUCGGGGCUGACCUAGUCAGUUUCAAUAGGAGUCUGCUUCUAACCGUCUCUUGACCGAGACUAGCGACUUGUGCGCUAACUUUUGACUUGACCUCAAAUCAGGUAGGACUACCCGCUGAACUUAAGCAUAUCAAUAAGCGGAGGA
rnacentral:misc_RNA from 1 species